rnacentral:siRNA from 1 species
CUAGAUGAUGGGCUUAGAUGAUGG